CGCGUAAUUCCAUUGGCUGAAAAAACUCCUCAUGGGUAGCCUUUGUAGCGCCUUAUUACAAUUCCUUCAAAAUUUCGUGAUGAUUUAUAUCGUUAGAAUGUUGUUAAAAUUACAAUUGGUGUAUUUUAAAUUAUCCGUUUAAUAUAGUAGUAUAUAACUGAUGCUCUAGGUGGUGAGAUCUACCAAAUCUCGUUCUUAGAUUUUUUUUAAUUAGCUUAACGUGACGUACCAGCUUAGCAUACAGCUAUCGGGUAAAAUAGCUUAACACAAACACCAGUUGCACUCACCGUAAUAACGUAAUGUCAUUUUUUUUUAAUCCUGAGGUUUAAAAAAAUAUGUUUCACGUUCAGAUAACUUAGUAAUCAAUAACAUAAAAUUGAAAUGUGUUUUUGUUGUGUAUUUAAUAAGGCAAUUAAUUGGGUUUUUAGGCGAUUACGUGUGUUAUUUAGAUAUUAUAUACUUUAGUCUACCUUUUCCACUUUUGUACUGUGUAAACUUAAUAAAUUACUUGUAUGCAACAGAACGUCAAUCUGAAGUUACAACAAUCCAUAUCUUCAAUAUUGUUUAGUCUUUAUUAAGAAUAGUUAAUUUAAUGUUACUGUUACGUUAAAAUGAUUAUGCUUAUUAAAAGGUCAAUAAUGUUUCAAGCAUGUUGUUUAUACACAAUGUAAUCGACAUCAUGCUACACAUUUUAGGUGUGUGCUGUGAGUUAACAAUUAUUACAAACAGUAAUAUUGCUUACUUUUACACAGCAUAUAAAGUAACAUCAUAACUAACAUUACAUUAUUUAUACAAAAUGUAAAGCUUUAUGAACACUUUUAUUCCAAGACAUUUAGAGCUUUUCAGAAUGCAUAACAUUUUAAAGUGUUUUAUUGGAAAACAUACUGUAAUAUCUGUAUUACUGUAUCUACAAUGUUUCAACAGUUAGUUCCAGUUGAUUUGUUUUGUCAAGAUCUUUGAGUCUUCACAUAAUCAGUUCGUCACAUUUGUGAUGUGUCUAGCUGGUAUUGCAUGCUAACAGAGGUCCUGUGCUGCGGACCAUGCACAAAAUCAGGCAGGGGUGGUGGCAGUGGCAAGGUUGGCCGCUGGUUAGCAUGGGAUUCUGUCAUUCUGUGUCAACUCAGUGAUGCUCAUGUUUCCUGCUGUCCUUACAUGCAGGUGUGGAGUGGACAAAAAUGUGGUCUGGAUUCUGCGUGACCGGACUAAGGGGAACACCAUGAUAAAGGUGUGACGACAAAUUCAGGAAAAAUCAUUUUGAGGAAUACCUGCAACGCAAAGAUCUUUACACCACACUCCUCAUGACACUUAUGAAGCCUGGGGGGAUUGUGUCUGCCCUUGGACACCAGUUUGAAGCUCCACCUCCUCCACGAGAGCUGCCUUCAGCUCGUCUCCUUCGCCACGCCUUCCUGCUGUUAGAAGCCAGCAAUGUGCAAGAUUAUAGGACCCAAAUUCUCUCCACUCUUAAAAAUGGACUCCACUAAAAAGGUGGUGAGGAAGUUGUCUAGAGAGGGUAAAGGCACAGCUAACUGGCUUACCAGCAUAGGGAAUGAGCAUUUCCAGAUUGUCAAAUUUGUUCUUACCUGUGAGGAGUCCGCUGAGCGUCUGCAGCCCAUGUGUCAUGGAGUGAUGGACAGAUGUGCACAGGCCAAUCAAUCUGUUCCAAAAAUCUUGUAUGUCGACUGUGGGUGCCGUCGAGCACAAGGGCGAACUGCUGUGGAGACCCUGUUCAAAGAUUGGGUGGACAGUGGAAUGGUCGUCCGUCUGGACAUAUUUCAUUGAAUUCACCGUUUUGAUAUAGCCAUUCACACUGACAGCCAUUCCAAGUAUGCUUUGUUCAAGUCUGUCUUAUCAGGAGCAGUGCUGGCAUAUAAUCGCACAGACUUGGAGCUUCUCAUCAAAGCAGUCAAAGAACCCAGGAUAUUUGAACUCUGUCUCCGAUGAAGAAAUGGUGCGACUUUAUGUGUCAACAGAACAAAUGAAACACCAUGUUCGCAGAGUCACACUUGGCGCUCAAUAGACCUUUCGGCUCAUCCAGAUAGCCAUAGAUGAGCUCAAAGGCCCUACUGGACUAGAUGAAAGCGGAGUCAGCCUCUUUAAGUCACCAGAGGCCAUAGACAGUGUGUAGGAAAGCCAGCAGCGACACUUGGAGUGCCUUCAGGAUCCUCCAGACAUGAAUAUGUACAGAGUAGCUCGAACCAGUACUGUUAAUGGCGUGAAGCAACAGCCUGGAGGGAUUCCACAAAGUUCUGCCCAACAUGAUUCCAGGUCCGCAAUGUGCAGCACUUCCCUAUCAGGUUUACCUGAUUAGUGGAAUCGCUCGCUGGAAUUCAGACCGCAGUUCUGAUGCCGUGUACGGUGGAAAAGGUAGACGACACAGGACAUACUCAGCACCUCUGACCGGUCGCCUUAACUCCAGAUGCCAGCAGCUGUUUGGAGAGACUUGUUAGGACUCUGCCAUAAUCUUGUUUGGUGUUCCUGUUCAGUGUGAUUGUCUCCUCUUGUCUUCCUCACCUGUUGCUUGUUAUCCCCUCUUCAGGAUCAUCACGCUGUAGACUUCAGAGACAUUUACCAUCUGUCUAUCACAGAGACUUUUUCUCCCUCCGCUCGUGUGGCAGGAGCCCGAGCGUGUGUGGUAAUUCGUCCAGCGAGUGCCUUUUGCCGGAUUGUCGCUUUUCCCCUGGCGUUUUGUGGAUAGCCCCACAUAUACUCUCUCCCACCGUUCGCUGUCUGGCCGGAGCCCGAACGUGUGUGAUGACAAAUGAGCUGCUUGGCUUAGAAUAUCUAUUCAGCCAAAGCACGGGUGAAUCUGUUCCCUUCAGCCUCUCCGACAUCUGAAAGGAUGGACCUAGUCCGGAGGAAGAGGUGGUCCAGCCUGGCCAGCAUAACCCAGAUGAGGAUGAGGCAUAUCACAGUGAUCCAGAGGCAGGUGACAACAUAGUGACAGCCAUACCAGCUCACAUAACCCUGACAACUGAAGAGACCCGUGCAGCUCACCAUCCAGCCUUUGAGGAUGCUUGUAGUUCCAACCCUCUGCCUGGGAUCCAGCAGUUGGAGAAGUUCUGUUCUCUGCUGGUGGAGGUUGGCCUGACUGAAGACAAGCUGAGCCUUACUACAGAUCAAAGAAAUGCCAUCAAUGAUGCAUGAAAUAAGGUGGAGUAGCAUGACAAACAGCCACAGAAGUUUCAACAACUCUAUAAAACUCACUGGGGUUAUACACUGUAUUGCUGCACAAACAGGGAUGACCUCGUUGAAGCUGCCCUGGCUCAGCGUGUUAAGAUGUCCAAGCGCUAUGCGCCAACUUAACAAAACAUCAGCGCUCAGCAUAACAGGUUAAUGUACACCAUUGUGAAACAUUUGUGGCUGGGGUCACCUCACAGUUCCCAGAAAAGCCCUGAAAAAAGAAACAUCACAAAGGCCUAUGAGAGAGUUUAACAUACCAUAUUGGCAGAGGAUCCAGUGUUGAGAGAACUGGGUGUUCCUCUAUCCAAAAUGAACACUAAAACUGUCUGUGAUUUUAUACGUCGUCAGGAAAGGCUCCUCAACUUGCAGGCAACAAAAAUGCCAUCUGCCACCAUAUCAAAGAUGACAUCAAUCUCUUCAAAAGAACUGCCUCCAGCACCAUGCCAGCCUCCGGUCCUCCCUCCACCUGACUACCUGCCGAUGGUUAUCAACAUAUUCCUAGCAAAACAGGGACCACGAUUUUAAAAGAAAGAACAGACUCUUUGAUGCCUGUUCCAAAGGCUCUUAAAACAACAGAAUAUGCCUGCACUGAUGCCACGCCUACCACUGCCAGUGAGAGAACCUACAAGGAGGAACACAAAGUUCACUUCAACUACACCAAACCUCCACCAUCUACCUCAAAAACGACCCCAGGUAGUUCCACCAGCCCAACACCAUUGACGAUGUCUGCCAGCACAUCUAUCACUGACACAUCACAGGGUGCUGACACACUUUCAGCCUGGUCCAGGGCAACACAGUAUAAAAGAAAACUAUCAGGCGACCUUACAAAUAUUGGAGCCAAGCAAUCACGCAUACAAAACUUGCCCAUUUGUACAAUUUGCAACAAGCCAACUCAGGGACACAAAAGGUACAAAAAGAAGAGAUUCUGCCCUGUGAAGAUGAUGUUGACCUCAAAAGGACUGGACAACAGAGUUUACACCAGUUAUGAACAUUUUACCUCAGUUGUAGACGCACUGUAGUAACUUUUUAAGCCCAAACGUCUGUGUGUCUUUAUAAUGCAGUAUUACAGGUUUACACCUUCCCAAUGUUCAUUUGAAGAGUUUACAUUGCUUUUAUUGAAUAUUGUUGAUCAACUAUCAUAAUAAUCUUAAUAUGUUCUGUUCUAUGUAACUAGUGUUCAUUUAAACUGUGUUUCCACCAUUCUAUGGUGUAAUAUUUCUAUGCCAUUUAGCCUCAACAUUCUAUCUAUCUGCCUAUACCAAUCCAUCAAUCUCUGCACUGUUAACAAUUUUACUAAUCUGGUUUCUCAUUAAAGGUGUCAGAUUUAUGUGGAUCUUUACUAUAUUUAUUUAAAAUGUUUACAGUUUUGUUUAUUGUAUUCAUAUUCUUAUUUAAUGUUUGUUCUAUUUACCUUAAUAAAGUGAUCUUUAAACCUAAAA